rnacentral:rRNA from 1 species
UACGUAGGGUGCAGGCGUUAAUCGGAAUUACUGGGCGUAAAGCGUGCGCAGGCGGUUAUGCAAGACAGAUGUGAAAUCCCCGGGCUCAACCUGGGAACUGCAUUUGUGACUGCAUGGCUAAAGUGCGGCAGAGGGGGAUGGAAUUCCGCGUGUAGCAGUGAAAUGCGUAGAUAUGCGGAGGAACACCGAUGGCGAAGGCAAUCCCCUGGGCCUGCACUGACGCUCAUGCACGAAAGCGUGGGGAGCAAACAGG